AAGAUGCAAAUCCGCCAGAGCUACUGCAAUCUCCGGCCAUAGUGGCGUCCAAGCUAACACCGGCGAUGAUGACUCGGCGCCGCCGGAUAGACGACGACAACGUCACUUGGAUCUGGACGCCGCUAGAUCGACGACGAUGCUGCCGGCUCAACCUCGAUUGCGUCUCCAAUUCCAUCGUCGAGGAGCUUGGCUAGAUCUCCGAUUCCAUCAAUGAAGACCUUGACUGGAUCUUCGGUUUCGUCGACGACGACCUCGACUGGAUCUCCAAUUCGGUCAACGACGACCUCGACUAGAUAUCAUAUUCCGACGACGACAUCUCGCUCGACCUUGUUUACAAAUCUGAUUCCGAGGCCUAUAUCUCCGGUGUCGAUCUGCUUCUCCGACGACGAUAACGACGCUGCCGGCCGAAGACGACGCCUCGAUCUCGACCUUGACGCAGUCGGCCUUACGUGGAUGUCUCGAUUGUGCCCUAGGUCGUCGUCGUUCUCGAUGAAGUUCGUGGAAAGCUCUCAAACCCUCAUAUCUGAGCUAUCAAUGUAAACCUCUUCUAAUUUCUCACUUUGAUUAUCCGUCCUUCUUUCAAUGAGCUAGAGGCUGCUGCCAUGGCAUGUGCUGAUCUGAUGGCCGCUAGACGACUUGUAAUCUAGCUUCAGGUGGUGGUAGUAGUUUUUGUAGAUGAUAGUAGUAGCUUUUGUGGCUGGUAGUAGUAUUUUUUGUGUUAGUCGGAAACCUCAUAGUAGUAGCUUUUGUAGGCGGUGGUAGUAGCUUUUGUAGCCGGUGGUAGUAGCUUUUGUGGCUGGUGGUAGUAGUUUUGUGUUUUGUCGGAAACCUCACAGUAGUAGCUUUUGUGGCUGGUGGUAGUAGUUUUUGUGUUUCGUCAUAAACCUCACAGUAGUAGCUUUUGUAAGCGGUAGUAGUAGCUUUUGUAGGCGGUGGUAGUAGCUUUUGUAGCUGGUGGUAGUAGCUUUUGUAGCUGGUGGCAGUAAUUUUUGUGUUUCGUCGGAAACCUCACAGUAAUAGCUUUUGUAGGCGGUAAUAGUAGCUUUUGUAGCUGGUGGUAGUAUCUUUUAUAGUUAGUAGUAGUAAUUUUUGUCAUCAUCGGAGGUCAGUCGGAAACCUCACCGGAGGUCGGCCGGAAAUCUCGUCGGAGAUCAGCCGGAAACCUCGCCGGAGGUCGGCCGGAGACUUUUCCAAGAUGAGAGUGGUUGUUGACUUUUUAUACUAGUGGUAUUUUUGUAAAUAUAAAGGAGAAAAUCUAAUGUUUUUUAUUGGAUGGCAGUCUGUAAUUUUGUUCAAUUUUUAUACCUAAUAUAAAACCUUAUUUAGGCUUAGGUGGACUUAUGUGAGUAAAAAUGUUUGGGUGGACUUAUAUGAAAUAAAAUGUUUAAAAGUGGACUUCUAUGUAAUUGGCACAAACCUCUACUAUAGGGUCAUUUUCUUAUGGAGUCACCGAACGAGGCAACAGUACUAGUCGUCUUGCUCCGGAAGUCUAUAUGUUAGUAGCAGCACCGCACCUUUGUGACUUUUGAAAUUUUGCUAAUUUUUCUUUGCUUCUAUAUAUAUAUAUAUAUAUAUAUAUAUAUAUAUGUAUCUCAUCAGAGGAUUGGAGAUGCGACUCACAGUUAUUCUGAUGUUGUGUAGAGAAGUUAUGCUAGUCGAUCAGGUUUUAGUCAUUCAG
rnacentral:lncRNA from 1 species